UGGGGAAUUUUGGACAAUGGGCGCAAGCCUGAUCCAGCAAUGCCGCGUGCAGGAGAAGGCCUUCGGGUUGUAAACUGCUUUUGUACGGAACGAAAAGGCUCCUUCUAAUACAGGGGCUAAUGACGGUACCGUAAGAAUAAGCACCGGCUAACUACGUGCCAGCAGCCGCGGUAAUACGUAGGGUGCGAGCGUUAAUCGGAAUUACUGGGCGUAAAGCGUGCGCAGGCGGUCUUGUAAGACAGAUGUGAAAUCCCCGGGCUUAACCUGGGACCUGCAUUUGUGACUGCAAGGCUGGAGUGUGGCAGAGGGGGAUGGAAUUCCGCGUGUAGCAGUGAAAUGCGUAGAUAUGCGGAGGAACACCGAUGGCGAAGGCAAGUCCCCUGGGCCUGCACUGACGCUCAU
rnacentral:rRNA from 1 species